GCUUGUCUCAAAGAUUAAGCCAUGCAUGUCUCAGUAUAAGCUUGUGCAUAGUGAAACUGCGAACGGCUCAUUAUAACAGUUAUAGUUUAUUUGAUGGUUCUUGCUACUUGGAUAACCGUAGUAAUUCUAGAGCUAAUACAUGCGUCAAACCCCGACUUCUGGGAGGGGUGUAUUUAUUAGAUGGAAACCAAUGCGGGGCAACCCGGUAUAUGGUGAUUCAUAAUAACUUUCGGAUCGAUCUUCGGAUCGAUGCAUCAUUCAAGUUUCUGCCCUAUCAGCUUUGGAUGGUAGGGUAUUGGCCUACCAUGGCUUUAACGGGUAACGGAGAAUUAGGGUUCGAUUCCGGAGAGGGAGCCUGAGAAAUGGCUACCACAUCCAAGGAAGGCAGCAGG
rnacentral:rRNA from 1 species